CGAUCCCUAGCUGGUCUGAGAGGAUGACCAGCCACACUGGAACUGAGACACGGUCCAGACUCCUACGGGAGGCAGCAGUGGGGAAUAUUGCACAAUGGGCGCAAGCCUGAUGCAGCCAUGCCGCGUGUAUGAAGAAGGCCUUCGGGUUGUAAAGUACUUUCAGCGGGGAGGAAGGGAGUAAAGUUAAUACCUUUGCUCAUUGACGUUACCCGCAGAAGAAGCACCGGCUAACUCCGUGCCAGCAGCCGCGGUAAUACGGAGGGUGCAAGCGUUAAUCGGAAUUACUGGGCGUAAAGCGCACGCAGGCGGUUUGUUAAGUCAGAUGUGAAAUCCCCGGGCUCAACCUGGGAACUGCAUCUGAUACUGGCAAGCUUGAGUCUCGUAGAGGGGGGUAGAAUUCCAGGUGUAGCGGUGAAAUGCGUAGAGAUCUGGAGGAAUACCGGUGGCGAAGGCGGCCCCCUGGACGAAGACUGACGCUCAGGUGCGAAAGCGUGGGGAGCAAACAGGAUU
rnacentral:rRNA from 1 species